rnacentral:rRNA from 1 species
GACGAACGCUGGCGGCGCGCCUAACACAUGCAAGUCGAACGAGCGAAAGGAGAGCUUAGCUUUCUUGAGCGAGUGGCGAACGGGUGAGUAACGCGUGAGGAACCUGCCUCAAAGAGGGGGAUAACGUCUGGAAACGGACGCUAAUACCGCAUAACAUAUUGUUUUCGCAUGGAGAUGAUAUCAAAGGAGCAAUCCGCUUUAAGAUGGACUCGCGUCCAAUUAGCUAGUUGGUGAGGUAACGGCCCACCAAGGCGACGAUUGGUAGCCGGACUGAGAGGUUGAACGGCCACAUUGGGACUGAGACACGGCCCAG